rnacentral:rRNA from 1 species
AUUGAACGCUGGCGGCAUGCCUAACACAUGCAAGUCGAACGAGUGGCGGACGGGUGAGUAAUGUCUGGGAAAUUGCCCGAUGGAGGGGGAUAACUACUGGAAAGGGUAGCUAAUACCGCAUACCAUCAGAUGUGCCCAGAUGGGAGUAGCUAGUUGGUGGGGUAACGGCUCACCAAGGCGACGAUCCCUAGCUGGUCUGAGAGGACGAACAGCGACACUGGGACUGAGACACGGCCCAGACUCCUACGGGAGGCAGCAGUGGGGAAGUUUGGACAAUGGGAGAAAGCCUGAUACAGCCAUCCCGCGUGUAUGAAGAAGGCCUUCGGGUUGUAAAGUACUUUUGGCGGAGAGGCGUUAUCUGCAGAAAAAGCCCCGGCUAACUACGUGCCAGCAGCCGCGGUAAUUC